UACGAAGGGGCUAGCGUUGUUCGGAUUAACUGGGCGUAAAGGGCGCGUAGGCGGGUUUUUAAGUCAGGGGUGAAAUCCCAAGGCUCAACCUUGGAACUGCCUUUGAUACUGGAAGUCUUGAGUCCGGGAGAGGUGAGUGGAACUGCGAGUGUAGAGGUGAAAUUCGUAGAUAUUCGCAAGAACACCAGUGGCGAAGGCGGCUCACUGGCCCGGUACUGACGCUGAGGCGCGAAAGCGUGGGGAGCAAACAGG
rnacentral:rRNA from 1 species